AGCGAACGCUGGCGGCAGGCCUAACACAUGCAAGUCGAACGAACCCUUCGGGGUUAGUGGCGGACGGGUGAGUAACACGUGGGAACGUGCCUUUAGGUUCGGAAUAACUCAGGGAAACUUGUGCUAAUACCGAAUGUGCCCUUCGGGGGAAAGAUUUAUCGCCUUUAGAGCGGCCCGCGUCUGAUUAGCUAGUUGGUGAGGUAAUGGCUCACCAAGGCUACGAUCAGUAGCUGGUCUGAGAGGAUGACCAGCCACAUUGGGACUGAGACACGGCCCAAACUCCGACGGGGGGCAGCAGUGGGGAAUCUUGCGCAAUGGGCGAAAGCUUGACGCAGCCAUGCCGCGUGGAUGAUGAAGGUCUUAGGAUUGUAAAAUCCUUUCACCGGUGAAGAUAAUGACUGUAGCCGGAGAAGAAGCCCCGGCUAACUUCGUGCCAGCAGCCGCCGUAAAAC
rnacentral:rRNA from 1 species